UCCAGAAUUCUUUCUCUCCCUGUUAAAUCUCUAAGAAACUCCUAAUCUUGUUCUUCGUUUUCGUUAGCUUGUUGAUCGAUUCGUCUGCUUUCUACAAUCUGCUUCUUGAAUUUGCGAUCUCAAGCGUCUUUUAAUUUACAAUCUGCCUCUUGAAGAGGUAUGCUUGCAGAUUUGAUCAAGAAAGGAUCGGGUUUGUGCGAGCGGGACGUGCGCCACUAUGUGCGUAUCAUCCUCCGGAGGGUCUCUAUUCUGUGCUUGAAAAAGGUGGACCAGCGAUGUAAUAUAAUAGCUGCAAUAAGCAUCAAAAUUUCGAAAUAAAGUUUUUGGUCCUGCUAGUCUAACUGAGACACUGUAUGAGAAAGGAGUAAAGAAUGUUGGGCCUCUCCUUUGAUGGGCAUCCAUGCAACCAUUUUGGCAUAUAGAUAACCUAGCAGUUGGAAGACAUACACGAUGCGGGGAAUAACAGAGAAAGCUGUUAAUGAUAUCUAUAGGCAUAUCACGAAUACACAUUCAGAUGGUGCUAGGCAUAGGGAAGGACGCCAUAUUAACCUCAGCUUGAUGACACUCGCAACAGUAAUCAGAAAGUUUAGGUAAGGAUGCUAUACUAUAGCAUACUUUUAUAUGGAGAGAUAG